UUGGAAAAUAGGCUUCAGGAGGAGAAAUGUAAUUGCCUUUUCUAUGUUUUCCUAUAUUUGAACUACAGGAACCUAUGAUGUGGCUCCUCUGAAUCAACUGCGCACAUUCCUUAGUUUUCCGUACUGCAGGGAGUCUUUAGAUCUGACGAUGGGCAAAACCUACCUUAUCAUGGGUUCAUCCAAAGAUAUUCAUAGAGAUGACAAAAACCUCUCGUAUCAGUAUGUGUUUGGUGAGAGAACCUGGAUCGAGUACUGGCCCACUGAAGCUGAGUGUAGAACUGAGGAACACAGACUUACCUGUCUGGGCAUGGAUGAGAUGGUUCAGCAAUACCAACUCUUUAACUGUGAGCCGCAAUGAAAAUCAAGGAAAUAAAGAGUAACUUUGAAAUCGU